UCAUUUUGACAGCUGCUCUUCGUGUUCAUUUUGUGGUGUAAUAGGAUGCGAACAACAAUGGCGUUUGUUAAAAACAAACAGCAAGAACUGCUAGCAGAUUCAAGUGAUCAGUUCGAUCAACCAACAGCUGCAAUCGAAACCACAACAUCUACGGCUAUCAGUAAAACUGAUACGUAAGACGAGAUUUCCUGUAGAUCAGUAGAAUCCAACCAAAACAAACGCUAUAAAUCAACGCAAAACGAAUCCAAUGGAAGAUUAUUAACAUCGCUGGGAUCGUAAUACAAAUUGCAGUUUAUCAGUGAAUCAAAUCCGCCAUUGAUUGAAUUGACUGAAACCACAAAAAAGAAUAAGAUAAUUAGCCAGAAUUUUAGCAUAGUAUCCACUGACUAUUCUGAUCCCAUAGAAACAUCGUACGCCAGCAAUACGCGUAUACUAGAAGAACUGUCAACAAACAGUUCUCGUUCGGCAGAAUUUGAAAAUAGUUUGGACAAAACAGAACCAUAUCUGCAAAGUAACCCAGGUACUUCGAAUUCAGUGCACGACAGAAAUGUUUUUACAGCGAAAUUCUUAUGGCGGGUUUACAUUAGGGAGAUCUAUAGCUAUAGAUGGAUUUAUUCACGUGAAAAUAGGUGUAAACGGGUGAGAAUAAAUAUGAUACACUUAUUCGAGGUAUAUAUAACUUGAAUAAAUUCAGCAUAUGUAAACGCUUGUGAAUUUCUCACUGGUGAGAAAUCACUAAAGUUGGAUGCAGUUCUACUUCAGGUGAAUAAAUUCACCGAAGAUAUGAAUACAUUCAUUAUAGAAGUUCACGCUAGUGUAAACGGUUGAUGCGAUUUCUAUAAAUCUCAACAUAUUUCUUCACAUGAAUAUAUCCCUAGUCUAAACCCACCCUUAGAAAAGUUGCUGAUACAUUCUGAAGAAGGGAAGGAAAUUUUACACUACGUCUCAAAAACGGAACUUUCCGAGG